rnacentral:rRNA from 1 species
AUGGACAUGCUGGCAACUAGAACCACAUGGUUGGCCAUAGCUCUCUUUUUUAUAACUGUUGUAGCCACUAAGAUUUCAAGAUGGAAAAGCAAUAUCCAUCAUUUGUCCACAAGACCCCUUCCACCUGUGGUGAAUGUCCUUGCUCUCUUACCUUCGCUUUUUAAAAAGGGUUUUGGGGAUACAAUCAAUGAUCUGUACACAAGGUACGGCAGUGUAUUUACAAUAAAUUUGCUUGGCCCAAAGAUAACCUUGUUGGUUGGACCAGAUGUCUCGGCUCAUUUCUUCCAAGGACUGGAGUCAGAGAUUAGCUUUGGUAAUUUUGCCGAGGUUACUGUUCCCAUCUUUGGCCAGGAAGUUUUGUAUGGUGUAGAUGCCGCAAUUCGCAGUGAGCAAGUAAACUUCAUGCUUGAUAUACUAAAGCCAUCCAAGUUGCGAAGCCUCGUUGAUCCAAUAUUUCAAGAAGUAGAGGCCUACUUUGCAAAGUGGGGACAAGAUGGCAUAGUUGAUCUUAAACAUGAACUUGAGCAGGUGCUCAUGUUUAUCUCAAGUCGGUGCCUACUCGGAUAUGAGGUUCGGGAGAUGAUGCUGAAAGAAGUAUACUCAUUGUUCCAUGAACUUGAGAACGGCUUAAACUUUUUCAGUUACUUGUUUCCAUAUAUUCCAACCCCAACAAACCGCCGACGCGACAAGGCACACAUUAGGCUGAAAGAAAUAUUCACCACAACUAUCAGGUCACGCAGGAGUUCUAGUCGUGUCGAGGAGGAUGCACUACAGAGGUUGAUGGAUUCCAAGUAUAAAGAUGGUCGCUCCGUAACGGAAGGAGAAAUUUCCGGCAUGGUCAUGGCCCUCAUCUUUGCUGGAAAACACCCAAGCUCUAGUACUAGUAUAUGGGCUGGAGCUUUCAUGUUGAGCAACACCAAGGUCUUAAUAGCUGCCAUGGAGGAGCAAAAGCAUAUCCUUAGCAAGUACAAGAACAAAAUAGGCUAUGAUGCCUUGUUAGAGAUGGAUACCCUGCAUAGAUGCAUCAAGGAGGCGAUUAGGAUGCAUACACCAGCACAAAUGUUAACUCGCAAGGCACAUAAGAAAUUCAAGGUGCAGACCAAGGAAGGCAAGGAAUAUGACAUACCUGGAGGGCAUAAUGUUGUAAUCCCUACAGCAUUCAACAAUAAGUUGGCACACGUUUACAGUGACCCUCAUGUGUAUGAUCCGGAUCGGUUUGGUCCAGGAAGAGAGGAGGACAAAGUUGGUGGUGAGUACUCUUUCACGACAUUUGGUGGUGGAAGGCAUGUUUGCCCUGGCAUGGCCUUGGCUUACCUGCAAAUUAAGGUGAUAUGGAGCCAUCUGCUAAGAAACUUUGAGCUCAAGCUAAUAUCUCCUUUCCCCAAUGCAGACUUGAGAAAGAUGGGCCAAGAGCCUAAAGGAAAAGUAAUGAUAAGUUAUAAGAGACAUCAACUGUUGCACUGCUAG